rnacentral:lncRNA from 1 species
UUUCAUUCAAAUUUGAAAUAUAAAAGAGUUACAAUGUACAUUGACAGUUACCUAAUGUAUUUAACUGCCCCAACUAAUACAAACCUAAUCACUAGCCAAAAAAAUAAUCAAAUAUAGCUGACCAAUCAGCCAUUACAUCAAAAGAUCUUAUCACUAACUUAAGUUUAACUAGUAUUACAAACAAACUAAAAUUGAACCGAACCAAAUUACAUCAAAACAAAACAGCAAAGUUGGUUGCUUCAUUCGGUUCAAAAAACCAUUCGUGCGCACCAAGCAAAAUGAGCUGAGCUCGAUAGCUGCUGGUCUCGACAGUAGCAAGCUUCUGGCUCCAUGUUGCAUUGCAGUC